CCUACGGGAGGCUGCAGUGGGGGAUAUUGCACAAUGGGGGGAACCCUGAUGCAGCGACGCCGCGUGGGUGAAGAAGCGCCUCGGCGCGUAAAGCCCUGUCAGCAGGGAAGAAAAUGACGGUACCUGAAGAAGAAGCCCCGGCUAACUACGUGCCAGCAGCCGCGGUAAUACGGAGGGGGCAAGCGUUAUCCGGAUUUACGGGGUGUAAUGGGGGCGCAGGCGGCGAUGCAAGCCAGGAGUGAAAGCCCGGGGCCCAACCCCGGGACUGCCCUUGGAACUGCGGGGCUGGAGGGCAGGAGGGGCAGGCGGAAUUCCUGGUGUAGCGGUGAAAUGCGUAGAUAUCAGGAGGAACACCGGUGGCGAAGGCGGCCUGCUGGACUGCAACUGACGUUGAGGCCCGAAAGCGUGGGGAGCAAACAGGAUUAGAUACCCCAGUAGUC
rnacentral:rRNA from 1 species